AAGGAGUCUAACAUGCUUGCGAGUAUUUGGGUGUCAAACCCGGAUGCGUAAUGAAAGUGAAUGGAGGUGGGAACCGCAAGGUGCACCAUCGACCGAUCUGGAUUUUUAAUGAUGGAUUUGAGUAAGAGCACGUAUGUUGGGACCCGAAAGAUGGUGAACUAUGCCUGAAUAGGGCGAAGCCAGAGGAAACUCUGGUGGAGGCUCGUAGCGGUUCUGACGUGCAAAUCGAUCGUCAAAUUUGGGUAUAGGGGCGAAAGACUAAUCGAACCAUCUAGUAGCUGGUUCCUGC
rnacentral:misc_RNA from 1 species